CACGUAGGGCGCAAGCGUUGUCCGGAAUUAUUGGGCGUAAAGAGCUCGUAGGCGGUCUGUUGCGUCCGCUGUGAAAACUCGGGGCUUAACCCCGAGCCUGCAGUGGAUACGGGCAGACUAGAGGUAGGUAGGGGAGAAUGGAAUUCCCGGUGUAGCGGUGAAAUGCGCAGAUAUCGGGAGGAACACCGGUGGCGAAGGCGGUUCUCUGGGCCUUAACUGACGCUGAGGAGCGAAAGCGUGGGGAGCAAACAGG
rnacentral:rRNA from 1 species